rnacentral:rRNA from 1 species
GAUGAACGCUGGCGGCGUGCCUAAUACAUGCAAGUCGAGCGAACAGACGAGGAGCUUGCUCCUCUGACGUUAGCGGCGGACGGGUGAGUAACACGUGGAUAACCUACCUAUAAGACUGGGAUAACUUCGGGAAACCGGAGCUAAUACCGGAUAAUAUAUUGAACCGCAUGGUUCAAUAGUGAAAGACGGUUUUGCUGUCACUUAUAGAUGGAUCCGCGCCGCAUUAGCUAGUUGGUAAGGUAACGGCUUACCAAGGCAAGGAUGCGUAGCCGACCUGAGAGAGUGAUAGGCCACACUAGAGCUGGGACACGCUCCAGACUCCUACGGGAGGCACCAGUAGGGAAUCUUACGCAGUAGGCGAAAGCUUGACGGAGCAACGCCGCGUGUGUGAUGAAGGUCUUCGGAUCGUAAAACUCUGUUAUUAGGGAAGAACAAAUGUGUAAGUAACUAUGCACGCCUUGACGGUACCUAAUCAGAAAGCCACGGCUAAUUACGUG